GUUUUGUUGUAAGAGUCAGUAAAAGGAGUUGAUGGCAGUUUUAAUAGCAAGUCACCAUGGAGAAAAGGUAUGUAACUUUACAUUUGUACUGUGGGUUAACUACUUGAAAGUAUUGCUGGCACAAAUGCAUAAUCAUUUCUACAGAUUGGAAGGCUCUUACCUAUGAGCCAAAUAUCAGCUUGUUUCUUUCAGUGCAGAAAGGUGUAUUCUGUCUCAUAACUGCAACUGUCAAAUUCAUACUUCCUUUAUGGAAAUAUUAUACUAGUAUCUUUUCAUGAUUUUAGACUAAAAUGUUAAAGACUGAGUAUAGAAAAGUUUUAGAUUGAAAGUGCUUUUAAAAGUAAUUGUUCGUAAAAUACAUGAGACCAUGUGCCCUUAACUGAUAGCUACUUUAAAACUCGAAUUAUCAGAAAUACACAUAACGAGAGAAAAAAAAAAGCCACUAUAAAUAACAAUAGGAGAGGGCCUCUUAAAUUUCAGUGAGAAAAAUACUCCCUCUCAGGCAAUAUGUAAAGAGCUAUAAGAAGGUUCUCAAACAUAACUGGAUAAAACAGCCACUAAGAAGCAAGAAAAUUGUAUCACAUAAAAUGAUAAGCUUCGUCACAACUGAGCAUUUCCCCUAACAUUUCUGUGUUGAACUGGAUAACAUCAGGCCAACUUUCUAAUUCAUAAAAAGACAUUUAUGUUGAAAACAAACGUUUCACCUGAUUUCACUGGCUGUUGUUUCUGGGAAGAGGGCUCACUUGAGACAUCCUUUUGUUGUUUAAGGUAACUGUAUUUUUAAGUGUUCUGAAAUAAUAAACCUUUGAAAUGAAAAGAAUUUGUUCACUGCAAACCAGCAAGAGCUUUGCUUAGCCACUGACAUUGUGCCAAUGUCUCCGUGCAUUCUAAUGUAGCUAGAGAUAUCAUCAAAAUGUUGCUAAUCUGAGACAAAUAGCUAAACAAAUAUAACUGGAGAGUUUUGUAAAAAUUUAAUAAAAGCGCAAGAUAUUAUCCCCUUGUCUCUCACAGUAUUUUAUCGUGCUGGUGGAUAAGGAAGUGCACCCCACAAUGCAAAUAUUGGGGGUUAUUAAAAAUGGUUACAGGAUUGAUAAGUGGCAACAAUCUUUUUUCUUUUAUUGUGCUCUAUUGAAAGACAUUUAUACAUAUUUUUUGACAUAGUCAGUUUUAAAGGAAAUUAUUCAGCAGGCUGAUACACUCAUGUCACGAUGCAUUUAAGUUCUCUUCAAUUGUCCACACUGAAGCUAGCUACUUGUUGACUGUUGAAAUGAUUACAGAAAAAUAGAGAUUAAGGACAUGGUAUCCAAUACUUUUUAUUGUUAGCAUGUCAGAAGAUCUUGGUAAUAUAUACUUGCGUUGAUAUUCUGAUUAGAGUUUCAAUUUGUUGUAUUUCCUCACUAUGGAGAGCAGUAUUUAAAUCGGUCUUCAAUAUUGUGCUGCUGAGACUUUGCCUCCUGAGCUGUAUUCUUCAGAUAAUUUUUGUUGAUAUGUUAUUGCUGAUUUCAUUGUAUUAUAAAAAGAACAGCACAUGAAUAGAGGUGAUAGAACCCACACACUAGC
rnacentral:lncRNA from 1 species